rnacentral:ncRNA from 1 species
GUUUUAUAUAUACAUGUAUAUUUUAUUAUUAAAGAAUUUUUUGGCAGUAUUUAAUUUUAAAUAUUUUGUUAUUAAAGAUUUAGUUAAAAAUUUUAGUUUCAACAAAUUUUGUGCCAGCAGUUGCGGUUAUACUAUUGAAGCAAUAAAAUUUUUUAAAUUAUUAUUUAAUUAUUUUAAUAAAAAAUGUUUUAGGUAAUUUUAGGUGAAAUUUUAUUAUUUGAUUUAUUUUUAAUUUUUGAUUUUGAUUAUAAGAAUUCUGGAAUUUAAACAAGGAUUAGAUACCCUUUUAUUCUUGAAAUAAAUAUUUUGAUUGAUUAGUAUUAGAUAUGUUCUUGAAAAUUAAAGAUUUUGGCGGUAUUUUAGUCUAGUUAGAGGAAUCUGUCCUGUAAUUGAUAUUCCACAAUAAUUUUUACCUUAGUUUUGUUUGUAUAUCGUUGUUGUUAAGUAUUUUAUAAAAUUAAAAAUUCUUUAAAUUUUUGUUAGAAAAUAAUUCAGAUCAAGGUGCAGCUUUGUAAGGAUAGAGAUGGAUUACAUUAAUUUUAUGAAAGGAUAAACAAAAAAUGAAUUGUUUUGAAUUUGGAUUUAAAAGUAAUUUAAGUAUUUUAACUUAAAUGAUUAAAGCUCUAGGAUAUGUACAUAUUGCCCGUCGCUUUCAUUUUAAUUUGAAAUAAGUCGUAACAUAGUAGAUUUACUGGAAGGUAAAUCUAGAAAGAU